AAUUUAUAAUGUGCUAUAAAUUAGUUGUAUAAGAAUGAAUACGACUCUAAUGAUGAUGUAAACGUUCUCUAGUGCCGCAUGUAGGAAGCCAACUCACAUUUGUUUACCAGGAAUUGUAUCGCCUCAACCCAUAUUUGCUACCCCCAAUGUUUUUAGUUGGGUAGUUUCCGUCGUUGUCAUCAUUAUGUUUACAUUCGGUGGGCAGAUCCAACUCUUGAUGCUUCCCCAACAUGAUUGGGUAUUAUAAAAUCAUCAUUCAUAGCAAAAAGUCCUCGGCCUUAUAGAAUAAAUAUAAGAUCUGAGUAAUGGGACCAGAAAGGAACUUUGAAACAUCGUCAAAAAAUAGAUUAGUUCUCGAUCUGGAAGGAAUAUCUACAGAAUGGUUGCCAAAUGCUUGGAACAUUGCAUCAUCUAGCGUCUGGGAUUAUGGAGUUCAUAAAACUUACGAAGCUCUUGUGAGUCCAUGGCUAGAAGUUUGAUCGAAUACCCAUGGCAUUGAUGAAAAUGAUUGAAAAGGCAUUAAAGGGCCAG
rnacentral:misc_RNA from 1 species